rnacentral:rRNA from 1 species
AUGGAGAAGAUCAGCAGGGGCGAGUUGAAGACAAUCUGCAUCAAGAUUAAUAGAGGGAGAGAACAACAGCGGGGUAAGAGAAAGAAACAACAGUUUUGGUUCAGAGAAGAGCAAAAGCAUGUGGGAGAGAAGGAGCAGAAGUGGCUUGGAUUGGAAAGGAAGGGCAGUAGCAAGGAGGGUUCAGAUCGUAGCAGCAGCAAGAGGGUGCAAGGAGAAGGAGAAGCAGGGGGGUUGAGAGAAGAAGAACAGCAGCAGGUUCGUCGGGAAGAAGAAGAAGAAGACCAGCGAGGUGGAUGGAGUGGCGCGGCGGCGGAGAAUGAUGGACGAUGCUGCUGGCUGGCUGGGAGGAUGGCGCUGGUGGAGAUGGACGGAGAUGGUGGUGACUUGCGGCGCUAA